GAUGAACGCUGGCGGCGUGCCUAACACAUGCAAGUCGAGCGAUUCUCUUUGGAGAAGAGCGGCGGACGGGUGAGUAACGCGUGGGUAACCUGCCCUGUACACACGGAUAACAUACCGAAAGGUAUGCUAAUACGAGAUAAUAUACUUUUAUCGCAUGGUAGAAGUAUCAAAGCUUUUGCGGUACAGGAUGGACCCGCGUCUGAUUAGCUAGUUGGUAAGGUAACGGCUUACCAAGGCGACGAUCAGUAGCCGACCUGAGAGGGUGAUCGGCCACAUUGGAACUGAUACACGGUCCAAACUCCUACGGGAGGCAGCAGUGGGGAAUAUUGCACAAUGGGCGAAAGCCUGAUGCAGCAACGCCGCGUGAGCGAUGAAGGCCUUCGGGUCGUAAAGCUCUGUCCUCAAGGAAGAUAAUGACGGUACUUGAGGAGGAAGCCCCGGCUAACUACGUGCCAGCCGCCGCCGUAACAC
rnacentral:rRNA from 1 species